GGGAACGGGGAAUACGAAAGAUUGAGUGGACGUUAUCCCAGUGACAGGUGGUGCAUGGUUGUCUUCCGCUCGUGUCGGGAGAUGUUGGGUUAAGUCCCGCAACCAGCGCAACCCCUAUCCUUACUUGCUAACAUUAAGUUGAGGACUCUAGGGAGACUGCUAUUGUAAGAUAGAGGAAGGCGGGGAUGACGUCCAAUCAUCAUGCUCCUUAUGUCUUGGGCUACACACGUGCUACAAUGGCUGGUGCAAACUGCUGCGAGCUCGCGAGAGUAAGCGAAUCCCAAAAAGCCAAUCUAAGUUCGGAUUGGAGUCUGCAACUCGACUCCAUGAACCCGGAAUCACUAGUAAUCGUAAAUCAGAAUGCUAAGGUGAAUACGUUCUCGGGUCUUGUACACAGCGAAACCGA
rnacentral:rRNA from 1 species